CCUACGGGAGGCAGCAGGUAUAAUGGCCUGCGGGAGGUAAAAGCGAACCGACUGACAUGGAUCAUCCGCAGCCAAGUCCUAAGUCUUCGGAUAUGGAUGCAGUUCAGAGACUAAACGGAAGUGGGCGCAAGCUUAAGAUAUAGUCCAUUCUAAUUUGAUUCACACAUGCACUACAGAGACUCUCUCGAAGAGACUGUAGCUGUUUGUUUCAUUGUAAAUUUUGAAUGAUGGUCGCAAGGCUGAAACUCAAAUGAAUUGACGG
rnacentral:rRNA from 1 species